AUACUUUAUCUUUUGAAUUUUUAUGAAAAAGUAAUGAGGAAGCUGUUUUCAUUUUUUUUAUUUCGAGUUCUUUUGUUCAAAGCAAUUCAUUCUGGUGAGCUGAAAAUCUGUUUUUAAUAUCAGGAAUCCAAUUUGAGUGUCCAAAAUGGAAUAUCAUUCAGGAAGCCUUGAAAUGGCAUGCAGCUUUAGGAGAGCUUGGUUUUGGCUUUACAAGAGAUGAAAGAGGUCAACUACUUCCUGAUCAAUUCCUUGUCAAAUUAUUCAGUUACUGCACUUGUUCUGGUUUCCUCAAACUGAUAGAAUUUGUUCAUUGAGGCAUGUUCAAUUCUACAUAGAGCACUUUGAGCGACUAGAAAUGGAAGUAUCUGUAUAAUGUUUUGGCUAUUAAAAA
rnacentral:lncRNA from 1 species